CCUACGGGCGGCAGCAGUGGGGAAUAUUGGACAAUGGGGGCAACCCUGAUCCAGCCAUGCCGCGUGUGUGAAGAAGGCCCUCGGGUUGUAAAGCACUUUCAGUGAGGAAGAACGCCUGGUGGUUAAUACCCAUCAGGAAAGACAUCACUCACAGAAGAAGCACAGGCUAACUCCGUGCCAGCAGCCGCGGUAAUACGGAGGGUGCGAGCGUUAAUCGGAAUUACUGGGCGUAAAGCGCGCGUAGGUGGCUUGAUAAGCCGGUUGUGAAAGCCCCGGGCUCAACCUGGGAACGGCAUCCGGAACUGUCAAGCUAGAGUGCAGGAGAGGAAGGUAGAAUUCCCGGUGUAGCGGUGAAAUGCGUAGAGAUCGGGAGGAAUACCAGUGGCGAAGGCGGCCUUCUGGACUGACACUGACACUGAGGUGCGAAAGCGUGGGUAGCAAACAGGAUUAGAUACCCGUGUAGUC
rnacentral:rRNA from 1 species